rnacentral:rRNA from 1 species
AUUGAACGCUGGCGGCAUGCUUUACACAUGCAAGUCGAACGGUAACAGGGAGCUUGCUCCGCUGACGAGUGGCGAACGGGUGAGUAAUGCGUCGGAACGUGCCGAGUAGUGGGGGAUAACGCAUCGAAAGGUGUGCUAAUACCGCAUACGUACUGAGGUAGAAAGUGGGGGACCUUCGGGCCUCACGCUAUUCGAGCGGCCGACGUCUGAUUAGCUAGUUGGUGAGGUAAAGGCUCACCAAGGCGACGAUCAGUAGCGGGUCUGAGAGGAUGAUCCGCCACACUGGGACUGAGACACGGCCCAGACUCCUACGGGAGGCAGCAGUGGGGAAUUUUGGACAAUGGGCGCAAGUCUGAUCCAGCCAUGCCACGUGUCUGAAGAAGGCCUUCGGGUUGUAAAGGACUUUUGUCCGGGAGCAAAUGCCUGGUGUUAAUAGCACUGGGAGCUGAGAGUACCGGAAGAAUAAGCACCGGCUAACUACGUGCCAGCCGCCGCCGUAACAC